AUGCAUCAGAGCAGCAUGGGCAUUAAGAUGGAGUCACAGACCCCAAUCUUCAUAUUCCUAUUGCUCUGGUUGUCUGGUGCUGAUGGAGACAUUGUGAUGACCCAGUAUCCCAAAACCAUGUCCACAUCAGUAGGAGAAAGGGUCAGCCUGACUUGCCAGGCCAGUCAGAAUGUGGGUAGUGAUAUAACCUGGUACCAACAGAAACCAGGGCAUUCACCUAAACCUCUGAUCUAUGGGGCAUCCAACCGGUACACUGGGGUCCCUGAUCGCUUUACAAGCAGUGGAUCUGGAACGGAUUUCACUCUCACCAUCAGCAGAGUGCAGGCUGAAGACACAGCCAUUUAUUACUGUAAGCAGUAUAGCAGCUAUCCUCCCACAGUGCUUCAGCUUCUUACACAAACCUCCUCUGAGAUUUUAACCAGCUGCCUGUACCACACACCCCCAGACCUAUACACUUCCUUUCUGCCUGAGGAUGCUAUGCCUAACUGUUGCAAAGUUUGGUAG